rnacentral:rRNA from 1 species
UACCAGCACCCCGAGUGGUCGGGACGAUUAUUGGGCCUAAAGCAUCCGUAGCCGGUUCUACAAGUCUUCCGUUAAAUCCACCUGCUUAACAGAUGGGCUGCGGAGGAUACUAUAGGAGCUAGGAGGCGGGAGAGGCAAGCGGUACUUAGUGGGUAGGGGUAAAAUCCGUUGAUCCAUUGAAGACCACCAGCGGCGAAGGCGGCAUCCUGGACUGGUCCUGACACUCAUGAGCGAAAGCGUGGGGAGCGAUCCGG